UCCCUGACAGUCCAGUAGUUAGGACUGUGCACUUUAACUGCCUAUGGCCUGGGUUCAGUUCCUGGACAGGGAA
rnacentral:tRNA from 1 species